UGAAGUGACUCUUCAUUGUAGAUCACCUACUUAGCAACCCAAGACAAAAAUCCUUGUUCCAUAUGAAAAUUAUUGUCAAGGCAUGACAUUAUUUUUUCUCGUAUUUGUUACGCUGCAGAAUAAUUACCCUUUUUGCCUGAACUGAGACUAUCAGCACUUUCGUUACAGCGCAAAACAAGACCGUACGAAGGUACAUCAACCAUGUUGGUUGAUCCUAGUUUUUCCUUCAUUUAUAUGCAAAAACUGAAGGAUUCACACGAUUGUUGAAUGUGCUUUACAGCGCCACAACUAUUAAAGGGAAGCUAUUCAAGUCACGCCUCCUGUGUGGUUAUUAUAACAA